rnacentral:rRNA from 1 species
UACGAAGGGGGCGAGCGUUGUUCGGAUUUACUGGGCGUAAAGGGCGCGUAGGCGGCGCAACAAGUCACUUGUGAAAUCUCCGGGCUUAACUCGGAGCGGUCAAGUGAUACUGUCGUGCUAGAGUGCGGAAGGGGCAACUGGAAUUCUCGGUGUAGCGGUGAAAUGCGUAGAUAUCGAGAGGAACACCUGCGGCGAAGGCGGGUUGCUGGGCCGACACUGACGCUGAGGCGCGAAAGCUAGGGGAGCGAACGGG